UCUUAAUGGAACUAAUGAUGGGAAUUCUGCUGCACAAUCAACUAGUUUAGCUGGUGGUCCUAGAGGUCAAGGUGGUGGCAGAAAUUUCAGAGGUGGGAGAAACAAUAGGUCAGUACCUAAUGCCCACGUGCGAUCAGAAAUUAAAGAUGUUGAUCAAGUUCGAAAGGAAAGAGAGAAGAAGGCCCAAAGAGCAUCAUAUUUGAAGACCAAGAAGGGGAAAAAGUCUUACAAAGGUGGCAAAAAGGGAAAUGGAAAGGGUAAGGGUAAGGGAAGACAUGGUUGAUUCCAGCUUAUCAACUCAUUUACUCAUGACGGGGAUCUCCAUUUUGCAAGCUUUACACAUGCAAAUCCAGAAGAGCACUAGGGAACAUUCUUUCACAGGAGUUGACUUAUCUUUUCUUAUAAUUCAGUGGAAAUAAAGUGAAAUUUCCAUUGUAUACUUGUGCAGCUUGGUAUGCAAUAGGCGGCCAUUUUUACAGUAUUUAUCGGUGGGAGCAUCGCCUGUGGACAUACUGUGUAUGAAACUUCCAGCUUCUCUCUGUCGAAUGGUUCCAUGCUUUUUAUAGAGGUGAAAUAGCACAACUCUACAAGUACUUUUGAUAGAAAAGUUG
rnacentral:misc_RNA from 1 species